CGCUGCCGUGUCCGGCUUGAUAGCUCCCGAAGAUCUGCGCGGGAUCAAAAUUGGGCCCACGUUCGAGCGACAGCGCAUAGAGCUCAAACUGCCGCUGGCUGAUCGGCGUGAUCAGUCGCUGCUCAUCGCCGACGGCCAUGAUCAACCUCNNNNNGGCACUCGGGCGCAUCGUCAUGAUGCCUCCGCUGCGGCUUGCGCCAGAAUGUCGUUGGCCUCCCACUCGUCGCCGCGCGGCGUGAUGACGAACUCGCGAUCCCAGACGCCCCAGCUUGUCGCCAGCGGAACCUGCGCCAAGGGGUU
rnacentral:misc_RNA from 1 species